GCAGGGCAGUGUCUUACCCUCCUACACUAACAUUGUAGGUAACAAUUUCUGAAGGACCAAUGGGAACUUUUGAUGCUGUGUCCUCCGUAAAUUAUGACUGAGAGGCCCUUGAAAGUUUACCAUAUCUAAAGCCCCAUCAGUCAGCCUGUGUGGGGAAUCAGAGAAGUGGCAUGGGUGUGGCCCCCAAUUCAGCUUAAGGGUCACUUAACUGUGCAGCUGAGCUUCCUGAGUAUAACAAACCAUAGAUCUUCUGCCAACUCAAGGUUCUGGGGGUGCUCGGUGAGGACCUCAAUGUUUGGAAGUUCAGAAGGAGGAUUUAUGAGGUUUGCAGAAAUAAUGGCUUAAUGAGGUGAUGCAGGAAGAGUACUUCAAGAGGAUCCACAGUCUGUGACACACUUUGAGAAGAUGUGAGUGUGGGACGUGAUACCCAGGAAAAUCCUUCCCAGCACCAUGGUAUAAGAGAUCAUUGAAUCUGGCAUAUGAUGCUUUUAAAGAAAGAUCUAGAUCAAAAGGGUAAAAUGUUAGCAUUAAUAUUCAGAAGCCCUAUUUAAAUUGGUUUGGGGGACUAGAAAGAGAGUGUCUUUAUGGGCAUAAAUCAGUAAGUUAUGGGACCCAACAUGACUUGCAUCUAACACAGAGGAUGAAGCUGUCUCCCUCUCUGAGGGGGAGGGUGCUCUGCAGAGGUGAUUUAGAGUGUUGUUAACCUUGGAUUUGGGAUGUACACAUGGGUCUGUCCUUGAAGGCACUGUCCGAUUUUCCCUCUCGGGUUCUUUGUUUCCAAAUAAGCCCAUCUGUUGUUGCUUUUGUUUGAGGUCAACUGGUGAGAAAUAUACAGGGGUUCCAUGGCUGCUGUGCUGGCUGUAGAUUUAUUUAGUCACAAAAAUUGCUAAUGUCAUUUGUAAAUCAGGUCACUGGGAUUUGUGGUCUCUCCUGCUUUGUGGCUAACA